rnacentral:ncRNA from 1 species
AGUAUUUACUAUUAUUUAUAUUACUAUUACUACUAUUAUUAUUACGAGUACAGCAAGGGCAAAUGGAAUUUUCAGGGGAGCGGUGAAAUGUAUAGAGAUAAAAAAGAACAUCAAUAGUGAAAGCACUUUGCUAAGCCGACACCAACACUGAGAGACAAAAGCUAGGGGAGCAAAUGGGAUUACAUACCACAUUAGUCCAAUCAAAAACGAUGGAUGCCGCCCUCUGUGUAUCAAACAAUGCAAACGAUGGAUGCCACCC